rnacentral:rRNA from 1 species
GAGGAAUAUUGGUCAAUGGGCGGAAGCCUGAACCAGCCAUCCCGCGUGCAGGAAGACGGCCCUAUGGGUUGUAAACUGCUUUUCCAGGGGGAGAAACUUUCCGAUGUAUCGGGAUUUGACGGUACCCUGGGAAUAAGCAUCGGCUAACUCCGUGCCAGCAGCCGCGGUAAUACGGAGGAUGCGAGCGUUAUCCGGAUUUAUUGGGUUUAAAGGGUGCGUAGGCGGGUUAAUAAGUCAGUGGUGAAAACCUACAGCUUAACUGUAGACUUGCCGUUGAUACUGUUAGUCUUGAGUAUGGUCAAGGUAGGCGGAAUGUGUAAUGUAGCGGUGAAAUGCUUAGAUAUUACACAGAACACCGAUUGCGAAGGCAGCUUACUGGGCCAUUACUGACGCUGAUGCACGAAAGCGUGGGGAUCAAAC